rnacentral:tRNA from 1 species
CAGGGGUUAUUUUAUAAAAAUACUAGCUUUGGGUGCUUGAGUUAAGAAGAAUUUCUUACCCCUGA